GAUGAACGCUAGCUACAGGCUUAACACAUGCAAGUCGCGGGGCAGCAUGAAUUUAGCUUGCUAAAUUUGAUGGCGACCGGCGCACGGGUGAGUAACGCGUAUCCAACCUUCCCCUGUCCACGGGAUAGCCCGUCGAAAGGCGGAUUAAUACCGUAUGAGGUCACACGAUGGCAUCAGACUGUGACGAAAGGUUUUGCGGACAGGGAUGGGGAUGCGUCCGAUUAGGUAGUCGGCGGGGUAACGGCCCACCGAGCCGACGAUCGGUAGGGGUUCUGAGAGGAAGGUCCCCCACAUUGGAACUGAGACACGGUCCAAACUCCUACGGGAGGCAGCAGUGAGGAAUAUUGGUCAAUGGACGCAAGUCUGAACCAGCCAAGUAGCGUGCAGGAUGACGGCCCUAUGGGUUGUAAACUGCUUUUAUGCGGGGAUAAAGUGAGGGACGUGUCCCUUUUGUAGGUACCGCAUGAAUAAGGACCGGCUAAUUCCGUG
rnacentral:rRNA from 1 species